rnacentral:rRNA from 1 species
UACGUAGGGGGCAAGCGUUAUCCGGAUUUACUGGGUGUAAAGGGAGCGUAGGCGGUCUGACAAGUCAGAAGUGAAAGCCCGGGGCUCAACCUCGGGACUGCUUUUGAAACUGCCGGACUAGAUUGCAGGAGAGGUAAGUGGAAUUCCUAGUGUAGCGGUGAAAUGCGUAGAUAUUAGGAAGAACACCAGUGGCGAAGGCGCUUCUCUGGACUGUAACUGACGCUGAGGCUCGAAAGCGUGGGGAGCAAACAGG